GAUCAACGCUGGCGGCGUGCCUAAUGCAUGCAAGUCGGACGGGCUGCCUUCGGGCAGUCACGUGGCGGACGGGUGCGUAACACGUGGGGAACCUGCCCCGAGGUGGGGGAUAUCCGUCGGAAACGGCGGGCAAUCCCGCAUGAGAUCGGCUCGCGCAGGCGGGUCGAGGAAAGCCGCGAGGCGCCUUGGGAGGGUCCUGCGGCCGAUUAGGUAGACGGCGGGGUAACGGCCCACCGUGCCGAUGAUCGGU
rnacentral:rRNA from 1 species